rnacentral:rRNA from 1 species
CCCUUAGACGUUCUGGGCCGCACGCGCGCUACACUGACCAGUGCAACAAGCAUCCGUCCUUGGCCGACAGGCUCGGGCAAUCUUUGAACGCUGGUCGUGAUGGGGAUAGACUUUUGCAAUUUUUGGUCUUCAACGAGGAAUUCCUAGUAAACGCAAGUCAUCAACUUGCAUUGAUUACGUCCCUGCCCUUUGUACACACCGCCCGUCGCACCUACCGAUUGAAUGGUCCGGUGAAAUCUUCGGAUCUGAGAGAUGUCUGAUUAAUUUCGGACGCCUUUUGGAAAAGUUGCUUAAACCUUACCAUUUAGAGGAAGGUGAAGUCGUANCA